CUUUAUUCUAAAGAUCAAAAAGGAAAGGAUUUUAUUGCUGAGGAACUUUCAAUGAGAGCACACUGCAGUCCUCUACAGAUCUGCCUGUACUUGCCUUUUUGCACCUUCAUGGACAAGAUUUACAGAACAAAUGCUUUACUACCUGUUUGAAGACGUCUCCCGGACAGAUCUUUGCACUACUCAUCUAGUACUAUUGAAUGGCGGAUAGCACUGAACAACUCUGCAUGUAUCAUCGUAUUUGACCAAGGAGGAGCUGAUGAAUCAUCACUGUGUUCAACAAGCGAUGAAAUUUCUAGUCCGGUGCCAGUGAAACUGGGGCACUGCAGCAUCAUAAACUAUCACUACAUUGAUAACACACAGGUAACAAUAAG
rnacentral:lncRNA from 1 species